UACGGGGGAUGCAAGCGUUAUCCGGAAUCAUUGGGCGUAAAGCGCCUGUAGGCUGUUUAAUAAGUCUGUUGUUAAAGACUAGGGCUCAACCCUAGAAACGCAAUGGAAACUACUAGACUAGAGUAUGGCAGGGGUAGAGGGAAUUUCUAGUGUAGCGGUGAAAUGCGUAGAUAUUAGAAAGAACACCGGUGGCGAAGGCGCUCUACUGGACCAUUACUGACGCUCAGAGGCGAAAGCUAGGGUAGCAAAAGGGAUUAGAUACCCCUGUAGUCCUAGCCGUAAACGAUGGAUACUAGAUGUUGUGCUAAAGUACAGUAUCCUAGCUAACGCGUUAAGUAUCCCGCCUGGGGAGUACGCUCGCAAGGGUG
rnacentral:rRNA from 1 species